UACGGAGGGUGCGAGCGUUGUCCGGAAUCACUGGGCGUAAAGGGCGCGUAGGCGGCCUGAUAAGUAGGGGGUGAAAUCCUGCGGCUUAACCGCAGGGCUGCCUUCUAAACUGUCAGGCUAGAGCACAGUAGAGGCAGGUGGAAUUCCCGGUGUAGCGGUGGAAUGCGCAGAUAUCAGGAGGAACACCAAUAGCGAAGGCAGCUCGCUGGGACGUUACUGACACUGAGGCGCGAAAGCGUGGGGAGCGAACAGG
rnacentral:rRNA from 1 species